UUCUACGCUUCUAGAUGACCCUCUCCAGAUUGCGCUGGUUGUUGACAGGGUGCUUGUGUUUGAGGCAAGCAGUCUCGAGGUCGCUCUCUGCUCGCUCCUGGGAGCGUAUUUCGUCUUCAACAUCAAGUACCCAAAGGAGGCCUCGUACACGCUGGAGUUCCUUCAGAGGCAUUUUGGCCAGAUAAACCCAUCUAAAGGUAGCAAGUCCAGCUCCCGUGGUCACAACAAGGUCAAUGGAAUCCCAGCCAGAAUUCUAGGUCUGCUGAACAAGAUUCGUUCACUCUAAUGGCUUCCUCAGAUGAAAGCGUAGGCUGGGGUCCUGACAAGUCAUUCUUUUUUUAACUGGUCCGGGCACAUCGUUUUUAUUGAAGGUUUUCUGCACGUAAAGCGCAAGAUGGAGCGUGGACAAGUUUUUUGUUGUUUUAAUCGUCCAAGGCAUGGAGUUUUACUGAAGGUUUCCUCAGACGAGAGCGUAAGCUGGGGUCCGGACAAGCUGUUAUUUUUUUUUUUUUUAAACGGCCCGGGCACGUUGCUUUAUUGAAG